UUUUCAGCAGCCGCGGUAAUACGGAGGGUGCGAGCGUUGUUCGGAAUUACUGGGCGUAAAGCGCGUGUAGGCGGCCUCCUCAGUCUGGUGUGAAAGCCCGGGGCUCACCCCCGGAAGUGCAUUGGAUACUGGGAGGCUGGAGUACCGGAGAGGAGGGUGGAAUUCCUGGUGUAGCGGUGAAAUGCGUAGAUAUCAGGAGGAACACCGGUGGCGAAGGCGGCCCUCUGGACGGAUACUGACGCUGAGACGCGAAAGCGUGGGGAGCAAACAGGAUUAGAAACCCUCGUAGUCC
rnacentral:rRNA from 1 species